rnacentral:rRNA from 1 species
AUUGAACGCUAGCGGGAUGCUUUACACAUGCACGUCGAACGGCAGCGCGGACUUCGGUCUGGCGGCGAGUGGCGAACGGGUGAGUAAUGUAUCGGAACGUGCCCAGUAGCGGGGGAUAACUACGCGAAAGCGUAGCUAAUACCGCAUACGCCCUACGGGGGAAAGCAGGGGAUCGUAAGACCUUGCACUAUUGGAGCGGCCGAUAUCGGAUUAGCUAGUUGGUGAGGUAACGGCUCACCAAGGCGACGAUCCGUAGCUGGUUUGAGAGGACGACCAGCCACACUGGGACUGAGACACGGCCCAGACUCCUACGGGAGGCAGCAGUGGGGAAUUUUGGACAAUGGGGGCAACCCUGAUCCAGCCAUCCCGCGUGUGCGAUGAGGGCCUUCGGGUUGUAAAGCACUUUUGGCAGGAAAGAAACGUCGCGGGCUAAUACCCCGUGGAACUGACGGUACCUGCAGAAUAAGCACCGGCUAACUACGUG